rnacentral:rRNA from 1 species
GGGCUACACACGUGCUACAAUGGCGGUGACAGUGGGAAGCCAGGCAGCGAUGCCGAGCGGAUCUCCAAAAGCCGUCUCAGUUCGGAUUGCACUCUGCAACUCGAGUGCAUGAAGGUGGAAUCGCUAGUAAUCGCGGAUCAGCAUGCCGCGGUGAA